ensembl:lncRNA
GGCCGAGGGAGCUGGGGCCCAGCGUGGUCAGGCGCUGGUGCAGGCUGCUCUUGCGCUUGGGGCAGAAGUGGGCGUGGAGCACAGCCUGCGGGACUGUCUCCUGUUACUCAUCCCCUUAAUUGUUUAUUUUUUCUGUUUCUUUUUUUAGCUAAUUUAACAGGACAUGCAGAGAAGGUGGGGAUUGAGAAUUUUGAGCUCCUGAAGGUCUUAGGAACUGGAGCUUACGGAAAGGUGUUUCUCGUGCGUAAAGUCAGUGGCCACGACGCUGGGAAGCUGUACGCCAUGAAGGUUCUGAGGAAGGCCUCCAUAGUGCAGAAGGCCAAGAGCGCGGAGCACACGCGGACGGAGCGGCAGGUGCUGGAGCACGUCCGGCAGUCGCCCUUCCUGGUGACGCUGCACUACGCCUUCCAGACGGAGGCCAAGCUCCACCUCAUCCUGGAUUAUAUAAAUGGUGGAGAGCUUUUUACUCAUCUUUCUCAGAGAGAGCGCUUCACAGAGCGCGAGGUGCAGAUCUAUGCUGGAGAGAUCGUGCUUGCCCUCGGACACCUCCACAAGUUGGGGAUUAUAUACCGUGACAUUAAGCUUGAGAAUAUUCUGCUUGAUUCUGAUGGCCACGUGAUGCUGACGGAUUUUGGUCUGAGUAAGGAGUUUGUGGCUGACGAAGCUGAAAGAGCAUAUUCCUUUUGUGGAACCAUUGAAUACAUGGCGCCAGAUAUUGUCAGAGGGGGAGACUCAGGACAUGACAAGGCAGUUGACUGGUGGAGUUUAGGUGUUCUAAUGUAUGAAUUACUAACUGGAGCAUCUCCGUUCACUGUUGAUGGCGAGAAGAACUCCCAAGCUGAGAUAUCGAGGAGAAUAUUAAAGAGCGAGCCUCCAUAUCCCCAGGAAAUGAGUGCUGUGGCCAAAGACCUGAUCCAGCGUCUCCUGAUGAAAGAUCCCAAGAAAAGACUGGGCUGGGGCCCGCGCGACGCAGAUGAGAUCAGAGAGCACCCCUUCUUCCAGAAAAUAAACUGGGAUGAUUUAGCUGCCAAGAAAGUGCCCGCACCUUUUAAGCCAGUCGUCCGAGAUGAAUUAGAUGUGAGCAACUUUGCAGAAGAAUUCACGGAAAUGGACCCCACCUACUCUCCUGCAGCUGUGCCCCAGAGCUCCGAGAGGCUGUUCCAGGACUCUCCAUUCUACCAACACUACGACCUAGAUCUGAAGGACACACCACUGGGAGAAGGGAGUUUCUCAAUCUGUCGGAAGUGCGUACACAGGAAAAGCAACCAGGCAUUCGCAGUCAAAAUAAUCAGCAGAAGGAUGGAAGCCAGCACUCAGAAAGAGGUGACAGCGCUGCGACUCUGCGAAGGACACCCCAAUAUCGUGAGAUUGCACGAGGUUUUCCAUGACCAGGUAGCCUGCUUUUUCUGUGUGUGCUCUGCGCCCAAAUUCGCAGGCGAGCUGUUUGAACGCAUUAAGAGAAAGAAACAUUUCAGUGAGACAGAAGCCAGCUGCAUCAUGCGGAAGCUGGUUUCAGCUGUAAGCCACAUGCAUGACGUCGGAGUGGUCCACAGAGAUCUGAAACCCGAGAAUUUACUGUUCACUGAUGAAAAUGACAAUUUGGAAAUUAAAGUCAUUGAUUUCGGGUUUCCCCCUGAUAAUCAGCCUCUGAAGACGCCCUGUUUCACUCUUCACUACGCUGCCCCAGAGCUCUUGAAUCACAGCGGCUAUGAUGAGUCCUGCGACCUCUGGAGCUUGGGUGUCAUUUUGUAUACGAUGCUGUCAGGGCAAGUUCCGUUUCAGUCUCAUGAUAAAAGCCUGACGUGCACCAGCGCAGUGGAGAUCGUGAAGAAAAUUAAAAAGGGAGACUUCUCCUUCGAAGGAGAAGCCUGGAAGAACGUAUCCCAAGAGGCUAAAGACUUGAUCCAAGGACUUCUCACAGUCGAUCCAAACAAAAGGCUUAAAAUGCCUGACUUGAGAUACAGUGAAUGGCUUCAAGAUGGCAGUCAGCUGUCCUCGAAUCCUCUGAUGACUCCGGACAUUCUGGGCUCUUCAGGAGCUGCGGUGCACACGUGUGUGAAAGCCACCUUCCACGCCUUCAACAAAUACAAGAGAGAGGGGUUCUGCCUUCAGAAUGUGGAUAAGGCCCCUCUGGCAAAGAGGCGGAGGAUGAAGAAGACCAGCACCAGCACGGAGACGCGCAGCAGCUCCAGCGAGAGCUCGCGCUCCUCGUCUUCCCACUCCCACGGCAAGAGCACGCCCACGAGGGCGCUGCAGCCCGGCAACCCCGCCGAGGGCGGCGCCCCUGAGAGCCUCUUCCAGUUCUCGGACUGAGAGCCCGGGGGGCCUGGGAACCGAGACGGCUCCGCUGUGCCUUCAGUGCCCUCGGCCUACCUGGAGGCCAGGCUGUGUCUGAGAAGCUGCAUCCCGCUGAUCCCGUUGGCAUCUGCCCUGCAGGGAAUUUUUCCAGGAAAACCCAGCUGGUUAUCCUCAUCCAGAAGCACCGGGCAGAGAAUGGGACUGUGAGCAGAGCACACGGGAUGCGGUUGGUGACCUGGAUGAUGCCCGCACGACUGUUCCUGAGGGCGCAGGUGUCUGUCUGUCUGAGUAGGGGCCGGUGAGGUUUGAGCCGCUGACAGUAAGUCACAGGAUCGUCAGAGGUCCGCCAGCAAGAGUCCCUAGGACUGUGAUGAUAGCUGUUGCUUCACUUUGUGGGUAUUGCGGGUUUUUAAGAGAGAUGCACCCUUUGAACAGUGAUUUAUCAGCAAAAAAAAAGAAAAGGUCUAACUGUUUUCCAAAAGAUUCUGUCAAGAAUUUUAUGUGUGGUGUAUACUUAUUUCUUGAGAGAGGAUUUUAACUUAUUGUUUUUGUUUUAUGGUUACCUAUGAUGAUAACCUACUGUUAUUAAUCUUUUUCUAAAAACUAAAAUAAAAGGCAUACGAAGGCCCCA